UGCAAACAAUGGGGAUGGCUGCUAACAUAGCAACAUGAUAGCUCUGUUCAUUUUUCUCUCGAUUAUAAACGUCAUUUGUAUGGAUAAGGUUCCGCCAGAACUCUGGUAUAUAUGGUUGCAUUCUGUAACUGUGGAGCAAAUGACCGUCACAGGGCACUUAUUCAGUCUCCAAUCGACCGUCGUUGAGAUGAAGUAUUAUGACUACGCAGCUGGGAAAACGACCGUCUUAGAUAAAGUCAACCUUUUGCCUAAACAAACAACGGUUCACAAGUUCAGAGGAUGG